rnacentral:rRNA from 1 species
UGUAAGCACAUGCCUUAAAACGGUAAAGCCGCGAAUGGCUCGGUAUAACAGCCACUGUUUAUUAAACUCUAGUUAUCUACUUGGAUAACUGUGGCAAUUCUAGAGCUAAUACAUGCACGCAGGCUCGGACCUUUUGGGAAGAGCGCAUUUAUUAGACCAAAACCAAUCGGGCUUCGGCCUGUGUUUUGGUGACUCUGAAUAACUAAGUCGAUCGCACAGUCUUAGUACUGGCGACGUAUUUUUCAAAUGUCUGCCUUAUCAACUUUCGAUGGUAGGUUAUACGCCUACCAUGGUUAUAACGGGUAACGGAGAAUUAGGGUUCGACUCCGGAGAGGGAGCCUGAGAAAUGGCUACCACAUCCAAGGAAGGCAGCAGGCGCGCAAAUUACCCAAUCCCAGAACGGGGAGGUAGUGACGAAAAAUAACGAGGUAAUCCACUUUGUGGCUUGCCAUCGGAAUGGGCACAAUAUAAU